UACUUACUUGUGUUACUCAAAACUAUAAACAAAAAUCAAAAAUCUUAACGAUAAAUAGUAAUCAUAAAACAUCAAAACUAAAAUCUUUUGCUUUCAAUUAUAACAAUCAAUGACUUUAAAACAGAACAAGAGUAAGGGCACUGUUCUUUUGCUUUCAUUUAUAGCAAUCUAAAAUCUCUAAGCUUCGAACCAUGCAUCAGUAUUUUAAAUCACACACACACACACAAUUCAAACUUCAGAAACCAACACUCAACGAAUUCUUAAGCAGAAAGACAAUCUCAUACUUGUGAAUCAUCAUCUCCAAAACAAGCUCUGUUUGCAUAAUUGAUUAAAGAAUUCAAUUCAAGUACAACAGAAUCAGUUACAUGCAAAGGUGUUUGUUUGCAUAUGAGAAAUUAAACGAGAGAAAAAGUUAGAAUAAAAACAGAGAAAACAGACCAGCUUCUAAUUGAGUAAAGUGA